UCGACCAUUGAGACAUGGUAUGCAACAUCGUCUUGGGUUUGGUUGAGUAUAAGUUAAUUGUUUGGAUUUUCCUGUAGAACUAUUUAUGCAUAUAGUUAGUUUGAUGCACUCCCUUAUUUUUCUUUCAUUUGAUUUUGAUUAUCAAUAUACCUUCUAUUAUUUCUCUAUAUAGCUGCUAUGAAAAACAUGUUCCUAAAAUUGCAAGUCCCUUGGAUUAUAUCUAGAGCAGUACAUGGCAACAUACAAAUUAAUCAAGCUGUUAAUAAAUACUUGUGUUUGCACAUAAAUAGAUAAUAAUGAGCCAAUGAUUUUUCUUCAAUUGUAACCCUUAGGGAGUCAAGAAUCAAAUUGCAGCCAGCAGGUUAAGAUGCUCUACACCUAGAGAGAAGAUUAAAUCAAAUAGUAGAUAAAGAUCUAAUGGGAGAGCGACUUAGUUAAAUGGGAAGAAAUGGUCCAAGUUGCACUCAUGUGUAGACAUUUUAGGGAACUUCAUUCAUUAUGUAGAAUUGCAUAUACUUGGU